UCAGAAAUCUGAUGUUUUAUAGUUUUACCUUCCGUCCUGGUUGAUUGGCUUGUCGUUGUAAUAAUAAUUUGUGGUCUUGGGUUUCUUGAUAAGAAGACAAGCAUACUCUCUGUCAAGCCAACAUAAGAGCUCGACAUGAUCUUGGAAAACCGAGACCCACGGGAGAUAAUCAGUAAUAAAUCCGGCAUCCGGUUUAAUCAAAUUAUUUCAGAACCCAAGCGCCUGAAGAGCGACGCAUUGUACUGGCAAUCCAGCACGGUCUGCUAUGAAAGAUGGCGUCUGUUUGUUUACCAGUGCUGCAGUUUUCUGACGGGGCCCUGUAUUGCCAAUUCUAUAGCAUCAUUAAUCGGAGGCCUCAUGUUUCAAGUUAUUUGGAUAAUAACACCGUUAAAUCUUUUGUGUAAACGAUGCGCCGGUGGGUGCGAAAAAGCAAUCGCGCCCUCCAUUGCAGGAUGUUGUAACGUUGGUGGUUUAUUGAAACGCAAAAAAACUAAACCUGCGGCCGUCGAUAGUAGUGGCAUAUCUGUCGUUUAGACUGUGAAAAUGUAGACUAUUAGAAACACUGUAAAUCGUAGAAUACAAGGUGAAUCUUUAAAAAAUGUAACUGUAAGCUUGUGGUUUGAAAUUUGUCAUUGUAUGGAAAAUGAACAAACUUGCAUGCAUCCUCCAGAAAGCCAACAGUUGUCAUCAUUGAUAAGUAGAUUAAUAUUUUGUUAUUUUUUAAAAUCACAUUUUAAUUGAAAAUGUUAACUAUAGCUUGUCAUAUUUAAAUUGUAAAUGCAGUUAAUAUUGGUAGAAGUAUAACUUGUCAACUAAUACUUUCAACAUUUGAAAAUUAUACAACGUUGCAUUUAUCAAACGGUUAUUGAGAUACAAAAUCGGUACUGAUAGAUGACAAGCCAAUUCAUAUCAUUAAAGAUAAAAGCUA